GACGAACGCUGGCGGCGUGCUUAACACAUGCAAGUCGAACGGAAAGGCCCUUCUUUUUUCUCGAGCUCGGGACGCGAGAGUGACACUUGAAUAAGCUUCCCCAGACUUUGACAUAGCGCUCGCAAACGGGAGCUGAGACCAAUUACGGCACAGCUUCCCUGCUGCUCUGUGUGGGAUGUUUUUCGGUUGGGGAUGGGCUCGCGGCCUAUCAGCUUGUUGGUGGGGUUGUGGCCUACCAAGGCGACGACGGGUAGCCGGCCUGAGAGGGCGACCGGCCACAUUGGGACUGAGAUACGGCCCAGACUCCUACGGGAGGCAGCAGUGGGGAAUAUUGCACAAUGGGCGGAAGCCUGAUGCAGCGACGCCGCGUGCGGGAUGACGGCCUUCGGGUUGUAAACCGCUUUCAGCUGGGACGAAGCGUGAGUGACGGUAAUUGGAGAAGAAGCGCCGGCUAACUACGUG
rnacentral:rRNA from 1 species